CAACAUACGACUGUAUUGUGUAAAUAAGUUGGAAAUGGAUUGUAUUUCAAUUGUUUAUUUUUAAUUAAUUGACUUGGCUAGUUGUGAUACAUAGACGAGUAAUAUGUUGUCUUGAGCUAUCUUGGGGAUAAUAUAUUUUUUAUAAGAUCACGCUCACUAGCAAGAAUUACCAAAUGUCUCAAUCAAUCUUCGAGAAUUGUUGACCUCAAGUCCUUCAUUAGUUUGAGGCGCGAGAAGCUUCUUUCACCAGAUUCAACAAUUACAGGGCCGAAACCUUCCCAAGACAUGGCAUAAAUACUGUCUUCUGCAUUCUUUUGCCAACUCAUGUAGCUCUGAAGGGCAAGGAGGAGCAAAGCACUGGCAGCAAGGGAGAUGACCAAAAGCGCAGCCAACGCCUUC